CCCGCCCGUUUACCCAAAAAACAUCGCCUCUUGCCAAACUAUAAAGAGGUCCCAGCCUGCCCCAGUGACUUUGUUUCAACGGCCGGCGGUAUCCUAAACCGUGCGAAAGGUAGCGUAAUCACUUGUUCUUUAAAUGAGGACUAGUAUGAAUGGCCCCACGAGGGCUGCACUGUCUCCUUUUUCUAAUCAAUGAAACUAAUCUCCCCGUGAAGAAGCGGGGAUAACCAUAUAAGACGAGAAGACCCUAUGGAGCUUAAAACGACUGAAACAUUUGCUUUUCCCUUAACCGCCCCAGAGCUCUUUAUCUUACCUAAGCAUUAUUAUUUCUAGUUUUAGGUUGGGGUGACCACGGAGCAAAACUAAACCUCCACGAAGAAAUGAAUAUUUCUUAAGCCACAAACUACUUUUUUAAGCAUCAACAANAUUGACCUUCAUUGACCCAAUAUAUUGAUCAACGAACCAAGUUACCCUAGGGAUAA
rnacentral:rRNA from 1 species